CCUCCUGUCCAUUGAUUAUGACCGAAAUAUCCGCACUGAGAAGAUCUAUGACGACCACCGGAAGUUCACCCUGAGGAUCAUUUAUGACCAGGUGGGCCGCCCCUUCCUGUGGCUCCCCAGCAGUGGACUGGCGGCCGUCAAUGUCUCCUACUUCUUCAACGGGCGCCUGGCCGGCCUCCAGCGCGGGGCCAUGAGCGAGAGGACAGACAUUGACAAGCAAGGCCGGAUUGUGUCCCGAAUGUUCGCCGACGGGAAAGUCUGGAGCUAUUCCUACCUUGACAAGGUGGGUGACCGUGUCGCACGGCCCAUCAGCAGGGCUUCUGCUCCCCCCUUCCCACCACCACCCUUCUGCCAGUCCGAGAUAUCCAGCCAUAAGACAUCGUAGCAUUUUUAAUAAUUCUGCGUGGCUCCCUUCAUGUUCUCCCAGCACUCGGUGCUAUUACCAUUGUUU
rnacentral:lncRNA from 1 species